CUUUAUUUUCAACAGUGUGGUUUCCGGGUAAUACCGGGAUUAAUAAGGAACCGUGUGCAAAUCACGGGCUGUCGCGCAACUGUAAGUAACAAAAAGGUUGUUGCCUUUACUUGUCCAUUGUACCCCCUCAAGCGGUAUGAGAAGGACGGCAACAAUGUUACAAGCCAGGAUACUUGCCAACUGUUUAAGACAAUG
rnacentral:ncRNA from 2 species